AGUAGCCAGAUGUGCUGAUGGCCGAUUAAAGGGAAUCCACUCUCCCAACCGCCAUCCCAGAAGACUUCUCAGAGAGAGCACAUAGACAAUGGAGACUGCUCAACCAACAGGUCUUUCUGAUCCCCAUGUCACAACAAAGGUCUUUCCAGCAAACUGGAAGAAAGUAUAAAAGAGGGGAAGUGACAUCAUCAUUUGGACUUUCUCCCCCUCCCCUCAACUCAACACCAGGAAAAACAUCUGGAGGACAAAGACUUUGAACUGGGGGAGGAUAGUCCUGAGCUGGAAGGCAGUUCCAGCCUGUGUGUUGAGGAUCUGUGACCUGUUUGUACCAUCUGUCAGGACUCACUGAAAUCCCAGCUGACCUCCAGCCAUGAUGAGUUUCCACCUUCCGUUUGCUGUUCUUCUCUUGCUCUCCCUGGCUACUUCAGGCUAUGCAGAGAUGCCCAUAGAGAUCUGUGACCUAAUUCCCAUCUGUUGAUUUCCUGGCCUGCUCCAUGGAAUGUGCAAGACCGGGAAGACGUUUUGCAGCAUUGAACUCUGCGGAUGACAGCUACGGAAAUUGAAGAGGGUGCACAAGAUCUA